AUCUCUAGUUGCCAGCGAUUCGGUCGGGGACUCUAGAGAUACUGCCCCGGUUAAACGGGAGGAAGGUGGGGAUGACGUCAAGUCCUCAUGGCCCUUAUGCCCAGGGCUACACACGUGCUACAAUGGGCGGUACAAAGGGUCGCGAACCCGCGAGGGGGAGCCAAUCCCAAAAAAGCCCGCUCUCAGUUCGGAUUGCAGGCUGCAACUCGCCUGCAUGAAGCCGGAAUCGCUAGUAAUCGCGGAUCAGCAUGCCGCGGUCGAAUACGUUCCCGGGCCUU
rnacentral:rRNA from 1 species